UCUUUUCUUCUUCACCUCUCUCGUUCUUCUUUUCUUUUCUUUUCUUCUUCUGUUUUCUUCUCCGGUGAUUCUGAGAAUCGAUUUGAGGGAAUCGAUCGAUGAUGUUGUUAGUAUAUAAUCAAUGAAGGUUUGGUGGUGGUGUUCAUGUUGGUUGAUCAUGAGAAGAAGAGGAGAUGACGAUCUAUAGAGAAACCAGAUAGUUCAAGCCAUGGAAGAAUUGAUUAAUUGAAGGAGGAUUUGAUUAGUUGGUGAUGAAGAACAAAAGGGGUUAGUAUUUAAUUGAAGUUCUGAAGAUGAUUCGAUGAUGAAUUGAUAAGUUAGGGUUUCAUGAGGAGAGCUCGGAGAAGAUUUAAAAAGUGAAUAUGAUGCUAUACAUAGAUGAUUAGAAGUGGGUUUAGUCGAUUGAGAAACAGGGUGAAGUUAAUUAGAUGUUGGGGAUGUUCUGAGGAAGAAUUGAAGAAUUACGGUUCAUGUGUUCUUCCCCAAAUUAGAAAUAGGUUUUUGAGAAUUGAAUCAGAUGUUGGUUUGAAGCUAAUGAAGAACUUGGGUUUGAUUCUCGUGUAAAGAUGAGGAUUGCUAUUGAGGAGUUGUUAUUAGUCCUGAGAUGAGUUGAUGAAUGGAGUCAGGUGAAGGAGAACUGAAUUCAAUUGCGUGAGCAACACUGUUUUGAGGGAAGGGGGUAGGAGGUCUGUUGAUUGAGAAUUGGAACUAGGAUGAGAAUUAGGUAUUGCAGUUGAUAUGGAUUGUUUUGGUUGUAUUCUGGGUUUGUAAUUGAGUUACAAUAAAUGCGUUUAUGCUAAUAUGAAAUGGAAAUAGAGUUGCAGUUGAACUGAGUUGCAAGUGGAAUUGGAUGCUAAUGCAGGAUGUGGUAGCUAUGGUGUUGUUGCUCAGUUGGUGGUGUGAGAUGGAUAUUGCAGAUAGAACCAAUGUGUGUGUGUUGCAGAUGAAGAAGUUGUUUACACUAGAGUUGAACUAUUGGAACUGAAUUGUUUGGUGGCUGGCGUUGAUGGUGUUAAGCUAAGACUGAAAUACAGAAGUAUGCAAUAUUGGUGAUGUUGCUUAGAGUUGGACUUGUAGUUAGCAAUUGCUGAGAAAGCUUGGAACUGCUAGUGUUGUAGGUAGGCUUAAAAUUACAGUUGUAUUGAAUUGUUGAAUUCUAUUUGAAUAAAUGAAAUGUUUAGUAGUUGUAUAA